rnacentral:lncRNA from 1 species
AAGUCGUCGGCUACUGCGCAUUUGGAAGGGCUGAGGUGGGAGGUUUUGGUGGUCAAUGAUCAUGUUGUCAAUGGGUUUUGUUUGCCUGGUGGGAAGAUUGUGGUGUUUACCGGGUUGUUGGAGCAUUUUAGAACUGAUGAAGAGAUUGCCACCAUUAUUGGUCAUGAGGAUGAUAAGAAAGUGACACAUUAUGGCGAUGUUCUUCACCUAUUUAUACACAUAUGGGCUGUAUUUUUUCCUAUUUUUUCAUUUGUUAUAUAUAAUAUAGGUGGUGUAUUUGAAAUGUAAUCAAUUUUGGAGUUUGUUUAUGUGUAUAACCGUUGUACUGCCAAAUAACACUUUAUGAACAUUUUGAACUUAACGUUUAUGCUUUAUUCGUAUAUAUUACGUCUUAAAUUCUAAGCCCCGGUCCACAUCGCGGCCGGGGGCUUCCAUCUAG